rfam:Triticum aestivum genome assembly, contig: Triticum_aestivum_CS42_TGACv1_scaffold_393067_5AS
GUUGUACUCCCUCCGUUCGGAAUUACUUGUCGCAGAAAUGGAUGUACCUAGACAUAUUUUAUUUCUAGAUACAUCCAUUUUCGAGACAAGUAAUUCCGAACGGAGGGAGUAGUUA